CCAUACGUCAUAAUCUCUCACUGCAUGACAUGUUCGUCCGGGAGACAUCUCCCGAUGGCAAGAUCUCCUUUUGGACGAUUCGACCGGAAGCAAACCGCUGUCUCACUUUGGACCAGGUCUAUAAGCCUUUGGUUGACCCAGUGACCCCCACUUGCCCUCAGAUCACACAAGUUGGUUUCAAUCAACAACAGAAGAGA